rnacentral:rRNA from 1 species
CAAAAAAUUAAGAGCUGACGGAGGAUACCUUGGCAUUUAGAAGCGAUGAAGGACGUGAUUACCAGCGAUAUGCUUCGGGGAGCUGGUAUAUAAGCUACAAUCCGGAGGUUUCCGAAUGAGGCAACUCUUUAAAACUUCUUAUUGAAUCUAUAGAUAGGAAAGAGCGAACCUGGAGAACUGAAACAUCUUAGUAACCAGAGGAAAAAAAAGUAAAAACUAUUCCCUGAGUAGUGGCGAACGAAACGGGACUGAGCCAAAACUUUUUAAUUUUUUUAAGAAGGGUAGCGGGACAGUACUUUACCACCGUCACAGAAAAUCUUUAAUGUAUUAAAUAUAAGAAUUAGCUGAAUUAACUGGAAAG